rnacentral:rRNA from 1 species
CCUACGGGAGGCAGCAGUGGGGAAUCUUGCGCAAUGGGCGGAAGCCUGACGCAGCAACGCCGCGUGCGGGAAGAAGGCCUUAGGGUCGUAAACCGCUUUCAGGGGGGACGAAGCUUCCGGGGUUAAUAGCCUACGGGGUGACGGUACUCCCAAAAGAAGGUCCGGCUAACUACGUGCCAGCAGCCGCGGUAAUACGUAGGGACCGAGCGUUGUCCGGAAUCAUUGGGCGUAAAGAGCGUGUAGGCGGCUUGGUAGGUCUCGUGUGAAAUCCCGCGGCUCAACCGCGGAUCCGCACGGGAAACCCCUAAGCUCGAGUCCGGAAGAGGAGAGUGGAAUUCCUGGUGUAGCGGUGAAAUGCGCAGAUAUCAGGAAGAACACCCGUAGCGAAGGCGGCUCUCUGGGACGGUACUGACGCUGAGACGCGAAAGCGUGGGGAGCAAACAGGAUUAGAUACCCUGGUAGUCCACGCCGUAAACGAUGGGCGCUAGGUGUGGGAGGUGUCGACUCCUCCCGUGCCGAAGCUAACGCAUUAAGCGCCCCGCCUGGGGAGGUACGGCCGCGAGACGAAACUACAANAGAUAGACGG